rnacentral:lncRNA from 1 species
CCAGCUUCCCUCGCCUUCCCAGCUCAGUUGGUCACCACCUUCAGACACAGUGGUAGAGGCUUCCUCAUGUGCUGGCUGCUGGGUGAAGCUGUGUUGUUCUUGCUGUUCCUCUGGUCAUUUACCUUGGCUCUCCUCCAGCUUGACUGCACUUGCCUGUGUUAAGGUUUCAGAUCACUCCAAAGAUGGAAAAAUGGGUUCAUAUUCACCUUGGACCUGAGAAAUACAGGCAAGCCAACUGAAGCCCAAGCAGCAAGUCGCCAGCAGACACACGUCCUCAGGAAGGUGGAGGCUGGGCAAAAAGCAUGUAGUGAGGACCGAGUAGGGAGGGCUGACAGCCUGGUGACACCAGUGGCCCCGCCAGCCCCUCUGCCAACAGGGCCAGAACCAGCCAAAGCCCAGAAGGGAGGCUCCUGUAAACUGCCACGUGUGAGGGACACACACAACACUCUCUCCACAUGCACAGCACAUUGCUCAGUGGUGAACCUGGGUCUUACGGGGCCUGAAACUUAUCUACGAAUUGGAGGAAAGAGAAAAAAAAAGUGUAACAUUUGCAAAUUUUAUCAAAACCUAUGACCAUGUGACCAUAUUGCUAGGGUCCCUCCUAGGGCCUGGGGAGGGGCUCCAGCAAGUGAGGGGCCCUGAACCUUCAGCUUCACUGUCUUCUUAAUAAAUCCAUACGUAGCUCACCAAGCCGUGUCAUCAGCUCUGUCACAGCCCUGAUAACGGUCUGAAUGUUACGACCCCCAAAAUUCCAAUGUUGAAAUCCUCACCCCUGAGGUGAUAGUAUUUAAAGUAGAGGUGAUUAGACCACCAGGGCGGAGCCCUCAUGAAUGAGAUUCAGUGCCUUUAUAAAAGAGGCCCUUCCACCGCGUAGGGUUACAGUGAGAAGACUGAAUCUAUGAGGAAGCAGGAGGUUGCACUUUAUAGACUCCAAACCCGGUAAAUAAACGUCUGCUGUUGAUGAGCCGUCCAGUCAAUGGUGUUUUGUUACAGAAGUCCAAAUGAACAAAGGCAAUCCCUGACUCUCAGAAAAACGCCUGGCACUCAGUAGGUGCUCAAUCAAUAGACGCAGAAAAAUGAGCUUCAGUCUUCAUCCACUUCGGAUAAAUUUUCUUUUAUUUCCAUACUCUUUUGUGACAUGUGUGGCACAAGUAUUCAAUCUCAC